rnacentral:rRNA from 1 species
GCCAGCAGCCAUAUCACCCUGCAACUCACAACUGGCAACCCAGUGAAGCAACCCAGCCUGGUGAGUACCUGGAUGGGAGACCUCCUGGGAAAAACUAAGGUUGCUGCUGGAA